rnacentral:misc_RNA from 1 species
GAUGAAGAAGGUAGCGAAAUGCGAUAAGUAAUGUGAAUUGCAGAAUUCAGUGAAUCAUCGAAUCUUUGAACGCACCUUGCGCCCUUUGGCCAUUCCGAAGGGCAUGCCUGUUUGAGUAUCAUGAACACCUCAACUCUCAUGGCUUGCCAUGAUGAGCUUGGACUUUGGGGGUCUUGCUGGCCUGUGGUCGGCUCCUCUCAAAUGAAUCAGCUUGCCAGUGUUUGGUGGCAUCACAAGUGUGAUAACUAUCUGCGCUCGUGGUUUCCAUCAGAUAACCUCCAGUGAUGGAGGUUCGCUGGAGCUCAUAAAUGUCUCUCCUAAGCGAGGACAGCUCUUUUAAUGUUUGAUCUCAAAUCAGGUAGGACUACCCGCUGAACUUAAGCAUAUCAAUAAGCGGAGGA